rnacentral:rRNA from 1 species
UACGGAGGAUCCGAGUGUUAUCCGGAUUUAUUGGGUUUAAAGGGAGCGUAGGUGGAUUGUUAAGUCAGUUGUGAAAGUUUGCGGCUCAACCGUAAAAUUGCAGUUGAAACUGGCAGUCUUGAGUACAGUAGAGGUGGGCGGAAUUCGUGGUGUAGCGGUGAAAUGCUUAGAUAUCACGAAGAACUCCGAUUGCGAAGGCAGCCCACUGGACUGCAACUGACACUGAGGCUCGAAAGUGUGGGUAUCAAACAGG